UGGGUUCGUCUACAGAGUGGGGGUCCUGGGGGGCUGAGGUGGAUGAACUCCCAAAACCGCUAGAGGCGGAGGUGCCGGAAGAUAUUUCGAAUGAUUUCAAACGAAGACCCUAAAGAUCCCGGAGAAAUUAGGCGGGACAAGAGAUGAGGGGUUGCGGGAGACCAAACUAGAGGAAUGGGACAGAAGAAAAAUGAAGGAGAAAAGGCCCCUAAAUGGCAAGAAGAAAAACAAAGGUUCCGGGACUAACCUAGAUUGCUCUGAAGGAUGCAGAGGGGCGA
rnacentral:lncRNA from 1 species